rnacentral:sRNA from 1 species
UACAUAUUUGGCAUCGUAGGCAUCCCAGUGACCGAAAUCGCCAUUGCUGCCCAGCAGCUAGGCAUCAAGUACAUCGGGAUGAGGAAUGAGCAGGCGGCUUGUUAUGCUGCCUCCGCGAUUGGAUAUCUGACAGGCAGGUAAACUAAAAUUUGUUUCACUUCAAUUACUUUAAUAUUUUGGGGUAGACCUAUUACAUCUUUCAGCUGAAGGAUGAGUUCAUUUGGAAAGAUUAUAGAAGAAUAUAUUAAAUAACAAAAGAUAAAAAACAUUUAAAACUCUCUGAGGCCCACAUCAAAAGAAUAAUGAUACCAGAAGUGUUUUAGAGUGGAACACAUUGCCAUUUUGCAGAGUGAAUCACUGGUGAUCAGAUAGUGAGUUGAUGUAUGAUACCUUGUCUUGGAUCUCACAACUACCCCAGCACGCUUAAUACAAAAAUGCUUGGUUCAGAAUGUGACUGUUGAGACCUGUUCCUUAUGUUCUGAUUUUUUAGUGUGUAUCCAUGUUACCUAACUACUACCCCCUUUUUAUUAUUAAAAAUUAAUACAUUUUUAAAAUGUCCAUUUUGGAAAAUAUAGAAAGCACAAAGAAGAAAAUGAA